rnacentral:piRNA from 1 species
GCUUUGAAGACUCAUCUGGAGCCAAGGA